rnacentral:rRNA from 1 species
UGGGAACGUACCCUUCGGUUCGGAAUAACCCGGGGAAACUCGGGCUAAUACCGGAUACGUCCGCAAGGAGAAAGAUUUAUCGCCGAAGGAUCGGCCCGCGUCGGAUUAGCUAGUUGGUGAGGUAACGGCCCACCAAGGCUACGAUCCGUAACUGGUCUGAGAGGAUGAUCAGCCACACUGGGACUGAGACACGGCCCAGACUCCUACGGGAGGCAG